CACUGACAAUAUUGACACCGAAUAUGAUGGCGAUUGGUGAAUUGGUGAAUGACAAUUACGGCUUUUAUAGCAGAUUUUAUUGUCGUCGUCGAAGUUAAAAAAAUAUUUCAUAAAAUACCUUUAAAAAAUUGGAUGAAUCUGACUCCUACAUCUCCCUCUUAUGAACAAAAGGAAACAUCCGUCCUGAAUCAUUAUACUGUUUAAAUCUCCUUAAUAUGGAAAAUGGAAGUUGGCUAUUGGAUAUAGAAUAUGAUGGAUACAAAUGAGUUGAUGCGAUAAAUCAAUUUGCAGAAAUAUGUACGUGUUUCAAUGACUUUUUGUAUCAAAAAUGGGGUUGUUUGUGUGUCUGAUAACCUGCUGUUAAAAUCUGGGCAACGUCAAUGCUGUAUACCAAUAUUAAUAUGCUAUGUUUCAAGAAUAAGAGGAAAAUAAACCAGCACCGGAGUUUUUCAAAAAAUAUGGGAUAAAAAAUAAUUCUUUACUUCUAGAAAAAUAUAAAGAUUAUGUCAAACCUAUUUCGCGUUUAUUAUCGAUUUCAUGAAAUUUGUUCCAAAACUGCCAAAACUAUAAAUUAUAGAAUAUACGAGUAUACUGUUCACCAUAGAACUUGUCCAUUACGUGGACAUUCACGUAUCACAUAUACAACGGAAUUUCGAUGAAUAUAAUUCCAGAUAUAUGAAAAAUCAAGUUAUCAAGAAUUUGGAGUUAUAAAAAAUGAGUAUAUUUUUGCUUAUUUUGUUAAAAUGAUAAAAAAUAUAAUCUUUUAAAUAAACACAACGGUAGAAUAAUAAUAUCUACAAAUAAAUUAGAAUGAAAAUUGGAUUUUAUAAACUUAAGUCUCGACGAUAAACUGCUUCAAUACAUUGUGUUUUGAUCAACGAAAACAGAACACGAACAGUAAGACAAUACGCGAUAGGUGGACGUGGAUGAUGAAUGAUUAUAGUUUGAUUUAUCAAUAAUAUCGACUUAUCGAGUUUAGACAUUAUAUUAUAUUUGAAUCUAAGUACUGAAAAUUUCAAUGGCAGCUACAAUCACAACACAGCACACAAUAUCGACUUAAACGUUUGUUAUAAAAAUGACUGAUACGACAAAUCGACGGCGUUGCCGGAGGUUCUUCGGGACCAUAACAGUUACUACGGUUUUUUUUUUUUAUUUGAAAACGAUCGACUCUCAAUACAAAACAAAUAAUAAAUAAUAAAUGCGCAAGACGACACGUCGGAAAAACGUUCGAUUUUUACUAACUUAUAUUCUUUGCACCCAAUAAAUACGAUUUAUAUUUGAUUUUUACGUGCUUAAUAAUGGUUUUUAUUUUUUAAUCAUUUUUUACAUGAUACUUGUUGAGCUCAAAACGGAAGUUAGCAUGAUGCGCGACGAUCCAUAAAAGAGUAGGUACAUUUGUACCAUAUAUAAUCAGAAUUUUGAUCAUACAUUAAUUUUAUUUUAUUAACAUCAUGUCGUCAUCGUGUUUCAAUUUGAUAACUAAUUGUAUAUAAAUAUCAACAACAUCGAAGAUCAAUUCGUACAACUGUCAGGAGUUUUGUUAAAAACUUACGACCCGAAAAAUCCACGGAACCUUACAAUAUCUUUUAAAUCUACACGCCAAAACCGUUUUAAGCCAUCAGAACUAAAAGCGUCAAAUAAGUACACAAAACCGUCAUUAAAAAAAAACUUAACUGUCAGAAUUUGAGUUCAUUAACGCCAUUUUACUUGUAUACUUACUACACUUGUACACAAUUUGUACACGACUAACAAGAUUAUUAGAAUUGUGUAUUGUUGCCCAUCAUCGUAUUUCGAUAAAGUGUGAUAUACCUAUGGGUAUAGGCAUAGUUAAUCUUACCAAUGUCUUAGGCGAAGCAUGCACAUAUUAUCAAGUAUAGAUAUAUAUAAUCCACUAAACGAUACUAAACGUAAAACGGCACUUGUAAUGUGAGAUGUGAAUUUAAUACUAAAAUGAUAAAACCUUUUUUCUCAAAUAAUAUACUAACCUACUUUUAAACUUAUAUUUUUAUAGUUAAU